rnacentral:Y_RNA from 1 species
UGCAAGAGCUAUAAGCAGUGGUAUUUACAAAUAAUUGAUCAGAACCAGUUACAAAUUUCUUUGUUCCUUUUCCACUCCCACUGCUUCACUUCACUAGCCUUUA